ACUGAUGGCCUGCAUCUGAUGGUCAGUCUGAGGGGAGGGAGGGAGCAGAGGUGAAACUCACCGUCCCUCACCUAAACUCAAGUCGCACUGCAUUAGUCUCAUGCACCAAUUAUUGUUGGAAGGAAGGAGAAGGAGGAAGGAGAGGGAGAUCGAAACACACAGACAGAGACAGAGACAGAAGAAGUCACACCAGCUUUCGCUUUGGCUCCCCCUUCUGUCCAGCUCAGGCAUUGAGCGUCGCCGGCAUUCUAGCUGCUGCCGAACCUACUGCUGCAAUCGCCCUUAGAAUAAGAGACAGAGAUCGAUAGAAGAAAUAAGAACUUCAAGAGGAGAGAUGGAGAAAGGAGGAAGUGAGAAGAAGAGAGGACCAGAGAACAGUUCGAAAUUGAGCGACACAAAGGAAGAGAAAAGAAAAGCAGAAACUGACAGAGGAAGAAGAGGAGGAGGAAAGAGAAAGAGAGGAGGUACAGCUAGAGAGGGACAGAGAGGUCUCUCUUUGUCACUUUCUGAGGGAGAUGAAGUCAAACAGAAGACAGUAAGCAUGGAGAAUGAUGGAAUUAAAAUAGAAGAUUUACAAGCAGAGGCAUAGGAACGGCUCAAUAUGCAUGAAGAGAAGAGGCUAGAAAUAUUGAAGGGGGAAAGAGAACGGAUAGAAGAAGAACAACAAAUCAGGAGGAAGAAGCAGGAAAGACUGUUAUCGAUGGACAGACAGCUGGAGAGGGUACAACAACAAGAGGAGCAGGAUAAAAAACUACAGAUCGAAGAGGGUACGACAACAAGAAGACCAGGAUAAAAAAACAACAGAUCAAAAUUGCAAAACAUAAAGAAACUGACAGACUUAGAGAGGCGAAGCAGGAAGAGAGAGAGGAGGAGAGAAAGAGAGCCAUUGAAGGCCACAUAGCUUUAAUCAGAGGAAGAGAGAAGAUGACAGAGGCAAAAAAGAGGCAGGAGAUGGCAGAAGAGGAAAGAAGGGAUGAGAAGUACAAGAGGGGUGAGUUAGAGAAGCCUGAAGAGGAGGAGAAGAACCCUGAAGAGAAGGAGGACGACAAGGAGGACCUCUCCCCAGCCAAUAAAAGUAUCAGAAGGAAAGCACUGGGUGAAUAGGAAGUGGGAGAAGAGGAACCUCAAAAAGGACAGAGAGAAUGUAUCAGAGAGAGGAGGAGGGAUAUGAGAUCAUCAACAGAGUCAUCCCUGGUACCACUGAAGCGAUAACGUCCUUCACCACCUGGGCAGAGAGAGAGAGAGGGAGAAGAGGAAGGGGUUGCUGAAAGAUGAGGAGAAAUGGAAGAAGAUGGAGUAUUUCAAUAAGCAUUGGAGAGAGCAGUCCCUGCUUCCAAAACAGACUCAACAGACAGUUAAAGAGGACAGGGAGAGGAGGAAGGAACAUUACCUAAAAGAACAGGAGGAGAAAUGACUGGAGGAGAUGAAUCUGGAGGCUGAUUACAUUAGAUUAGAAGUUUAAUUGUCACAUGUACAGGGUUGACGGGCAAAUCAAGAAGUUCAGCACCCAGUUCAUCAACCAGUUUCCAUCUGACUACAACCACGAUCAACAGUUGCUGGGGUGGGCCACGGGCCAGAAGGUAAACCAAGGCCUCGCUGGGUUGUACAUGACCAGCCGAGGGAGCCAGAGAGCCAGCAGAGGGGACCAGAGAGCCAGCAGGGGAUUUCAGAGGUGGCUGAGAAAUCAGUCAACCACCAAACCCAAGAAAAAGGCAGGCAUCUGCAAGAGAAUUAAGACGUGCAUUCCUGACCUCCUGUUGCUCAGAACUGAAACUGGGCGGAGCCACACUGCCACUAGACUACAUUGGUAUUUAAAGUGUCUCCCAAUAAUUCCUCCUCCUCUUCUUCAAGGCCACAUUUCCUCAACAAAACAUUAUAAGCUCCUCAAGUCAGCAGUAUCCUCUUCAUCGAGGCAACAAACAUUCUAAGGUCAGUGACUCUCCUCCCCAGACCUGACAUUCCAAUAUUUAUCCAAGUUGAAUAUCCUUGUUGAAUUCAACUCUGAUCACCACCUCUGCGGUCCUAGAAGAUAUCCCCAAAUGGACAUGGUUUAAACAGAAGUAAAGCAAGAAGUGAAGCAAGUCCUCUCCCCAAUCAGUGGCUCCACAGACAAGAGAUUCUCAUCUUUAUCCAAGUAACACAUCGCUGGUCAGUUCCACCACCCUCCUGUCCUAGACCUAGAAGAUAUCUCCCAACUUAACAUGGUGAAACAAUUUGAGAGGCACAGGGAAAGCCAUGGAGCAGCACCCCUUGGAUGAAGAGCCAUUUAGGGGUUAAGUGCCUUGAUCUAGGGCACAACGGCAGGAGAUGGUACCUGGGAGCAAAGUACUGUUCAGCUUUAAUAAAAGCAUGAAUUAAA